CCAGCAGCCGCGGUAAUUCCAGCUCUAAUAGCAUAUAUUAAAGUUGUUGCAGUUAAAAAGCUCGUAGUCGAAUUUCGGGCUCGUGUGGGCGGUCGGCUUAGGUCGAAUUGCCUGUGCGGGCCUUUCUGCUUGGGAGUCCUGGUAGGUUAACCCCUAUCUGUGAGUCACAGGCCGUUUACUUUGAAAAAAUCAGAUCGUUCAAAGAAGGCUAAGCUCGAAUAUGUUAGCAUGGAAUAAUGGAAUAGGACUUGGGUUCUAUUUUGUUGGUCAAUGGAUCCUAAGUAAUGAUUAAUAGGGACAGUUGGGGCCGUUUAUAUUUCGUUGUCAGAGGUGAAAUUCUUGGAUUUACGAAAGAUAAACUUCUGCGAAAGCAUUCGGCAAGGAUGUUUUCAUUGAUCAAGAACGAAAGU
rnacentral:rRNA from 1 species